GCAUAUCAAUAAGCGGAGGAAAAGAAACUAACAAGGAUUCCCCUAGUAACGGCGAGCGAACCGGGAAUAGCCCAACAUGUAAAUCUCCCUUUGGAGAAUUGUAGUCUAAAGAAGUGCCCUCUGUGGCGGAUGGGAUCCAAGUUCGCUGGAAGGCGGCGUCGUAGAGGGUGAGAACCCCGUCGAUCCUUGUCUUGCUACUUCACGAGGUGCUUUCGACGAGUCGGGUUGUUUGGGAAUGCAGCCCUAAGCGGGAGGUAAAUCCCUUCUAAGGCUAAAUACUGGCGAGAGACCGAUAGCGAACAAGUACCGUGAGGGAAAGAUGAAAAGAACUUUGAAAAGAGAGUUAAAAAGUGCUUGAAAUUGUUGAGGGGGAAGCGAAUGUAGCCUGUCUGUGCGCUCGGGCUGAUACGAUUCUCGCGAGUCGUUGUAAGUGCUGAGUGCAGGUCAACACGGGUUCUGGGGAUGGGAUAAUCGCUCGGGUCGAUACCGGGUCUAUGCCAUCUCUGGGACCAAGGGACGAAGGAUGCUCUCGACAUUGAUCUGCAUCCUCAAGGUGUUGGCGCAAGGGCUUCACUCGACCCGUCUUGAAACACGGACCAAGGAGAAUAAUCCUUACGCGAGGUGGUGGGUUUCAAACCCAUGACCGCAAGUAACCUGACUGGUGGGAUGGCUUCACGGCCUGCACCAUCGACCGACCAUGCGCUUAUGCAAAAGGUUUGAGUGCGAGCGUAACUGUUGUGACCCGAAAGAUGGUGAACUAUGCCUGAGCAGGGUGAAGCCAGAGGAAACUCUGGUGGAGGCUCGUAGAUGUGCUGACGUGCAAAUCGCUUUUCGGACUUGGGUAUAGGGGCGAAAGACUAAUCGAACCAUCUAGUAACUGGUUCCCUCCGAAGUUUCCCCCAGGAUAGCUGGAGCUUGAUUCAGUUCUAUCGGGUAAAGCGAAUGAUUAGAGGUUCGGGGGAUGAAACAUCCUUCACCUAUUCUCAAACUUUAAAUAAGUAGGACGCGCGAGUUGCUUGAUUGAACUCGUGCAAUCAAUGUGAGCUCCAAGUGGGCCGUUUUUGGUAAGCAGAACUGGCGAUGCGGGAUGAACCGAUAGUCGAGUUAAGGUGCCCAACUACACGCUAACCUAGAUCCCACAAAGGGUGUUGAUUGAUACAGACAGCAGGACGGUGGUCAUGGAAGUCGAAAUCCGCUAAGGAGUGUGUAACAACUCACCUGCCGAAUCAAUUAGCCCCGAAAAUGGAUGGCGCUUAAGCGUGUGACCUAUACUCGGCCAUGAUUGUAAUUGUCAUGCAAUCAUGAGUAGGAGGGCGUGGGUGUCGCUGCGCAGCCUUAGGCGUGAGCCUGGGUGAAGCGGCAUCUAGUGCAGAUCUUGGUGGUAGUAGCAAAUAUUCAAAUGAGAACUUUGAAGACUGAAGUGGAGAAAGGUCCAUGUGAACAGCAAUUGGACAUGGGUUAGUCCACCCUAACAAAUGGGGUAAUCCUGUGUGAAGAGCGCGAUAAGCGCUGCCCAUCGAAAGGGAAAAGGGUUAAGAUUCCCUUACCUGGACAGGGCGGUUGACGGUAACGUAAGCGAGCCCGGAGACAUCGGCGUUGGCCCUGGGAAGAGUUCUCUUUUCUUUUUAACAGCUCGACGGCCCUGGAAUCGAAUCAUUCGGAGAUAGGGCUCAGAAGCUGGUAAAGCACCGCACUUCUCGUGGUGUCUGGCGCGCUGACGACGGUCCUUGAAAAUCCGGGGGAACGACUACCGAUCCUGCCAGUCGUACUCAUAACCGCAUCANGUCUCCCANGUGAACACCUCUAAUCCAAUGGAACAAUGUNGAUAAGGGAANUCGGCAAAAUGGAUCCGUAACUUCGGGAAAAGGAUUGGCUCUGAGGGCUGGGCCUAGGGGUCUGCGUCUUGAGGUGCCUGGUUGUGGGUGCCUGCCCUGCUGUCAUGGUGGGGCGGGUGUCUGCGUGCCGGGUGUGGAUGGGCGUAGAAGCUCCUUCACGGGGGCGUUCCCUAGGCAACGAACAGCCGACUCAGAACUGGUACGGACAAGGGGAAUCCGACUGUUUAAUUAAAACAAAGCAUUGUGAUGGUCCCAAAGGAUGUUGACACAAUGUGAUUUCUGCCCAGUGCUCUGA
rnacentral:rRNA from 1 species